UCCUUUUGUGGAUGCUGAGCAUCUCUGUGUGCUCAGGCUGCUGAGUACUAUUUCAUUUUUCCAGAGAGCUGCUGGGAAGGAUGGUCCUGCCUCAAAUACCUGAUAAAAAUGAGGGAGAGGCAGGAGCAGAGGGGGAGUGAGGAAGAGGGACUCCCCAUCUGCUGUAAAUCCUCUAGGUUAGCUGUGCUGACUGUAAGCCCUCUGCUGCACUGCUGGGAGACAAGGGUUUGGGGUGUGUUGGGUGCAGUGAAGGCAUGGCAUUGCUGCCCACAGAAGCAGCCUGCAGGAGCCGUUCUACAUCUGUCCCUCACAUGGAUGCUGAGCUAAGGCUGAGGAUGCCUUUGUGCAGUUCUUUGUGGUAGCAAGUUAACUGAAGCGGACACAGGCAUCCUCAGUGAGGAGUGAAAGUGGUGAGUCAUAGCAGAAUCAGUCUUGUGAUUUUAGUUCAAGUCCUGACUAUUUCCCUGUGGCUUUUCCAGGGUGACGUAAAGGCAAGGUGCUGGGGCUCAGGUUAAGGUUCGGGUAAGAGGGAGCUGGCUAGAUUGGAAAGUCAAAAAUAUUUUUGCUGUAAUUGCAGAGAUAAAGAUUUACUCAAGCGAAGAAGCCCUUAGUUGGCUUCCUGACAGGGCUCUUGGCCUUAAAGAGGGUCUUUAAUGGGGGUAAUACUGAGCUUAGGAGCAAAACUCCUGGCCUAAGAGGAUGCAUCUUCCCUCUGAAAUAAUCAGAACCAGAACCAUGAUGAGAGACAUGACUGUAAUGUCUGGUGGCUGCUGACACAGAGUGGCCUUAGAAAGGACCUGUUAAAAGGUUUUUUCACUGUUAAAAGCUUUUGCAGAGCACUAAAAAGCUGUCUGUUUCCUAUCUUGAAAUGCUGGUGCUCCUUAGGGGCUGAAUUAUAAAGUCACCCUGGAUCUGAGGCUGCUGAAGGGGAGAGUGCAACAAGAAUAGACAGCAGCCUUCUUGUAGUUGGAAUUUGGGACCACCUGUCAUUCAAGGUUCAAACACAACCUCCCUCCUCCCCUCCUGAAAUCAACCUCAGCUCUCUCCCACUCCCUCCUACCUGUAGCCUCUGUCCUGGUAAGGACACAGUCUGAACGCUGGCAGAGAGCAGAACCAAGAAGAGGAAAAAUGAGCAGCAAGACCAUGACCGAAGCCCCAGCAUCUUCUUCUUAGCCCAGGGCUGGUGGGAAGCAAGGCAGGACUCACAGCAGCUGUGUCAGAUGUGGUCCCUAACCCCUCUCUGCCUUUAUAGCUUUAGUUUUGGCAGGCAACUGGCCCCAGCUCCCUGCUGAACCACCCCCUGGAGCUCCUUAACCUUUCAGCCCUUUUGUCCAGGGUGAUAUAUUUCAGGGUGAGCUCAGCAAGACCCCUUCCUCUAAAGAAAAAGGACACAAAGGUGUUUACUGAGUGUCUGGGAAGACAAAUGUGAGUUGAGCUGCUGCUGGCCAGGACCUGGAGGUGUCUCGCAGGGUCAGGGAUGGGGUGACACUUCAAAACACGUCCCAGAAGGAGGAUAUUGAAGGCUGCAUUGUGUAGGACUAUUGAACAUACUCCUCAUAGGCAGAGUGCUGUUAAUGUUAUUUCUCUGAUCAGUGUGAGCAUGAACUGCAGCUCAGUUAGAGGUAGGCACAGUGCUGGCUGCACAGAGUGGACACAAAUUCAGCUCUGUGACAACACAGGCUUAUGUUUUUAAUAUUUAUAUCUUGGUGAGACAGUUGGGCUGGGAAUGAAGAGCUCCUGCUGCAGAAGGUGGGUGAAUUCCAGUACUAUGCAGAGUUUGUAGCAGUGACAGGAGCGUGGGUCUAGUACUAUUAACAUAUAAUUUGCAGGCUCUCUGUCCUAAGUCACCAUCUGGAGGACUGGGCUGAGUUUCCAGAGGAACCGUCACAGAAAAGAGCUUGUCAAGACUCAGCUUGCACUUUGUCAAGCUCAGGCACACAAUGGGAGCAGGAUAGCAAGGAGCAGAUUCCUACCUCCUAAAUCUUCUGGCCAUUAGUUCCCCCCACUUUGUUUACCUCUUCCAUUUUACUGUAGUUUCUCACCAGCUGAACAAGGCAAUGAGGUCACUGUUUAGAGAUCAGGGUGCAGAAGUCAGCCUGGGUAUGAAGACAGAAACUCAUCAGCAAAGUUUGUCAGGGGAGAGGAAUGGGGGGACUGUACCCCAGUACAGGAUUAGCAGUAGGUGUGCUGGGAGAGUUUAACACCCUCAACUUCCCUUUGUUCAGUACUGUUGCACAAAACAGGCCAGAACUUUACAGAACAUGUUCUUCUGCCUGCUUUUUUUUUUAUUUUUUUCAAAGAAAGAAGAAAAUUAGAAAAAGGUCUUCAGAGAUAACAAAAAGCACAGUUCAGAUAUUUGCUCUGCCACUCUUUCCCUUGUUCCCUCCCUUUCUUCCUUCCAGACAUUUUCCAUUUGCAGAUGCAGGUUUGUGGGUCCGUUUCUUCUCUGCCCAAGUAGACAGAAAGUUUUACAAACCUUUUGCAUCCAGCCCUUGAGAACUGAGUGUGUGCCUUCAGUGUGGGGCACUGAUGCUGGAAGCAGGGCUUUGCACAGCUGUGAACAUCCAAUUUUGUCAGCUCCAGCUGAUGGCUGCAGCCCAUGGUUGGUGCUGUGUCCAGAGCAGUGUGAUACAGUCUGGCAUUCCUGUCACCCGGGGCAGCACAUGGAGGGGCUCCCAAGGUCCCACCAAGACAUUUUGUGGGAAACAGGAUUGCUUUCACACCAACCCUUGAAUCUCCAAAGCACAGGGGACUGCUGGGCAGUCACAGGACACGCACCCCACGUGGGCAUGAGGAUGGGGUGCCUGGGCACAAACGGGGGACAGGGAUGUGUGUGCACAGCAGCCCCUCCUUGUGCUGGAUGUGGUAGUGUAAGGAGCCAGAGGGAUGGAAAAGAAAGGAAGGACAGGAACUCAGCACAUGUUCAUGCUGCAUGCAGGGUGUCCCAGAGGAUGCUGUUCUGUACUUCCCAGUCACAUGUGGCCAUCCACAAAGAGCUGAGUCAGUGUUCUCCAGCACUCCUGCUGCUGGCAGGAGCAGCUCCACCCGGUUACAUGAGUCAGUCAGUCCUUUCCUGAGGGAAAGGUAAGUGCAAAAGCAACAGUGGUUUGGUUUUGAUAUGAAAUGUAGCAGCAGUUUGAUCUGGCAUCCCUUGAAUGGGGUGGCCCCCAUACUGCAAGAAGAAUGCCAGAAAUGUGUUUGCAACUGCUCCAAAAUUCCAGUCCACUUGCACAAAGACAGCCCUGCAGGGGUGGGCAGGCUCUGAGAACUCAAAUGACAAGUGCCCUCUUUGGGUUCAGCAAGAUCUGCAGCUGGCAAGAGGGAAAAAACCAUCACCCUCCCAUAUCAAGCAAGAAACUUCAGAGACUGCAGAAAAUUUGCAAAUUUUCUUGCAGAUUCUUGUAAGUUCUUGUAAAUCCAGCAAAGCCUGGAUAAAAUGCAGGUGCUCAGUGACUCAGGUGCCGUGAUGUUGCAGCUGCUCCGCGUCCCAGAUCCUUGCUGGGACUGCAGUAGAACUGAAUAGUUACUCUGACAUGUCCUGGCAAUGACUGUGAAGUGAAAAGGCUUUGGCAGACAAGUCCUCGAUUGCCCCAGUUUUCUCAGACUCAAAUAGGUUAUUGUCCUUUUUUCCUCUCUGAUGCUAACAAGUUUCCUUUAUAAAAACCCUUCCCCCUUGGAUGCUGGGGCACUGACUCUAGAGCUUGCAAGACCAGAAAAGUGGUCUGCUGCUGAAUCCCAAUCAGCCUUCUACAAACAGUUGCUCAUAUAGGAAAGGAGCAGGGCAACUGGAGACUGGGUGAUCUGGGAUCUGAGCAAAGAACCCUGAGGGGACAUCCCUUGGCCCAAGGUGAUAGAAAGGGAUGAUGGUUGCUGCAGGCUCUGGAAAUGUACAAUAUUCACAUUAUUUCACUGGUACCAUUUGUAGGAGUUCUGAGCAACCAUAGUCAGGAGUCCCUAGAGAAUGGAAACACCACUGAUCUUGGCACUGUGUAAUCCCACUGCCUCAGGAGCAGGGGAGUGGGAUUACUCCUUCAGCAGUGAUUUAUGGUCAUUGUGGGAGCCACCAAAAUAGACCUUUGUGAGGAACAGAAGAGCAGCAAGAUCUACUUAAGGCUGUAGCCAGUGUGUAGCUGCCCAAACCCCUCUUGGAUUUUGCCUCAUCUUUCUUCAGGACUUCCUUUUCCAUGACACAGGACUGCUCAUUCUUUUGAUAUCAGGAGAGGAGGGUGCUCCACCUGAACAACCUGCAGAGAGGGACCAAUCAGAGCUCUCACCCACUGACUUCUCACUCUCACCUGCCCAGGUAGCACAGGGUCUGAGUGUCCUGAGCAAAGGACAGUGAGCAAAGCAGUGAAGGAGCCAGCAUAUCAGUCCAGUCACUGAUUGCCAAACCCUCUUUCCAGAAGGGUGACUGUGAAUCCCCUGAAGGAAAAAGUUCAACCACUUCUUGUGAAAAAGUAUGGCCUGAAGGUGAGCCAGUGCUUAGGAGUUUUAUGGCCACCUCACUUCCUCUAUCCACCCAUUCAUAUCUCCUCUACUGUAGCAUUAGCAACAUAUUAUCUCACAUCUACCUAAGAUUUAUUUCUUGUAAAACUUUGAGCCUGGGUAGACAUCCAUAUAUGCUGUCCUUUCUUUUUUUAUUCCUGUAUGUGAGUGUCAUACCCUGUGGGUGGUGAGGGAAUCACGUAUGGUGUGCAUGACUCUGUGUUGUAUUUACUGUCAAUGCUGUAGCUGCUACCUUUGCCUCCUGGAGCCCUCACUGAGUAUUUUAUCAGGAAGGAGGGGAGAAGGACAACAUUGCUGUAGCUUUCUGAUCUUUGUAUUGCAUGUGAUUGUCCUGAGGCUACUGGCGUGCUCUGGCCUUGGAGCAUAUCUAUAUUGGUAUUUGGCUAUUCUAGUCUGGAGGCAAGUGGGCAGGUAUUUUCACCGAGUCAUGGGAACUCAAGUGGGGUGUUUAUAAAUACACCUGUUACCCCAUCAUUCCCCACUUGUUUCUGGAAGCAUUUAACAUGAUUAUGUCCAUUCAGGUAUGCUCAGGUUAGUGCAAAGCUAUGCACUUCCUAAUUAUUGUUUUGUUUUUUUUUUAAAACAGGGAUCAAAAUAAGCUACAGCAGCUAGUUCUGCAGCCAGAGCAGAAGGGAACUGAGCAGCAUGCUCUACUUGCUGGGUGAACCCAGGGUGAGCACAACUGUGGGAAGGUGGUAGAGCCUCAGACAGAGACUGCAGAUCUGCAGGAAGCAGUGGAGAGGAGGAGCGCCCUUCCCAUUCCUGCCCAGCUAGUGACUAGUCUGCUUUCUAGGCAGCUGACAAGGGCAGUUUAAGGAGUGCCAGGAAUGACUUGAAAACUGAUGUGGCAUUUGUGAAAUGAAAAAACCCAAGUGCCAAUUUUACUUGAAACAUAAUUGGAUUUGCAGCAAAUACAUUCCAGAAAGCAGUAAGACAAUCAAGCACUGAAGAGGACCAAGCCACAGAACCUGUUGAUCAGGCUCAUGUUUAACUAGAGAAUAAAGUUUGAGGAAAGGUGAGUUAGAUGAGAGCAGCUGCUUCAUUCCCCUCUUGAGGCCAGCAUACCAGCUGAAGCUAUGUCAGGUAUCUAAAAAAAAAAAGGAUUCCUAAAAAGCCUGUUUAUGCCCUAUUCAACCUAAUUCAAUCUAAAUGACACUCAUUUAGAUGGUGCUUGCUUUUCCAGUACCCUGGAAGUGUCUAUGACAUCUGCUCAAUGAAGAGCAGCUCCUUCAAGCUUUUCUCCUUCUCCUGGAGCUCUACCACUCCAACAUUUUCUCUCAAGAAAGGAAAGAUCUAGAAAUGCUGAAUGGGGAAAGAAGGCUAUUUCACAUGGCUAUUUGACAUACCUGAGACAGAAUUUUCGUACAUCAUCUUGCUGAUCAGGUUCAGAGCUUCUGUGAUUUUCACUGAGAAGUUGUAAGCAUCUUGCAGGUAGUGCACCAACAUCUCCUGUUUGAUCAGCUCUGUUUGAGGCUGCUCUUCCUGUACAACUUCUUCAGUCUCGUCACUGCUGCUGUCAC